AUUUGAAGGAAGAGAAAUUAUUCAUUUAGAAUUUUUUCCCCUAUUUCAUGAUGUAAUAGAAUAAAAACACAUAUUAAUAAAAAAAGAAAAAAAGCAACAGUAGUUUACCUUUGUUUGAAAGUUUUGAAUCGAGUGAAAUAAAACAAAUCCGAGUUACAAAUAAAACCGAGGGUAAAAAACUAUAAGAGGAAAACAACGAAACAACAGAG
rnacentral:lncRNA from 1 species